UACGUAGGGGGCAAGCGUUAUCCGGAAUUACUGGGUGUAAAGGGUGCGUAGGCGGCAACGUAAGUCAGAUGUGAAAGCCCGAUGCUCAACAUCGGGACUGCAUUUGAAACUACGUAGCUAGAGUGCAGGAGAGGUAAGUGGAAUUCCUAGUGUAGCGGUGAAAUGCGUAGAUAUUAGGAAGAACACCAGUGGCGAAGGCGGCUUACUGGACUGUAACUGACGCUGAGGCACGAAAGCGUGGGGAGCGAACAGG
rnacentral:rRNA from 1 species